CUCUCUCCAUUACUGAACAAGUGGAACUGGUUUGAAUCAUCUCAAUGCUGAAGAAAGCUACAUCCAUCAGAAUUGAUCGUUGCUUACUGUUGUCAUGUAUAAUGAUCUCCUGGUCCUGCUCAUUUCACUCAGCACCAGUUCAUAUAUCAUGCUGCACAAGAAAAAUCAGAUAAAAAAGGAAAAAAAUAAGAAAGAAAACAAAAUUCAAGCACACAAUAACAAAAAAGUGAAAAUACUAUAUUGUGAUCCACACUCAGUCCCCACAGUUCUCUCUCUGGACGCAGAUGCUCUCUCAAUUAUAAGACCAUUGGAACUGGCCUGAAUCACCUCACUGAUGAAAAGCCAUGUCCAUCAGAAUUGAUCAUCGUUAUAGUCUUGCUGUUGUUGUGUACAAUGUUCUCUUGGUUCUACUUUCACUUAGCAUGAGAUAUCCUUUACCAGACACAAGAACAGUUGAAUGCAUGGGAUGGUUCAAGGAUGAGGACUGGCUAGGUGUGAGUAGCACUUGGAGAAAAAGAAUGAUCUUUGAAUUGGUCAUUGAUAGGGUCAAGACCAAUGUGAGGAGACCGAAGAUGGGGUUGUGGAUUCUGAGGGCACAGAUAGAAAUGAAAGGAUUGGAGCCAGGUCAGGAUGAAGAUGAAGAGCAAAUCUAGAAGUACAGCUAUCCCUUCUAUAUCACAACUUUGAUGCAUUGUGAGUUGGCAUAAGAAAUUCAAUGGGAAUUUUUGGGAACUUUUGUGGAAGCUGCAGAUGACAUAAAAAGGCCAGCAGAUGAUACAGAAAAUGUUUAGAAACUCAAAAAUGCAUAAAAUAUAUGUACAGUACAUUUUAUCUGUUGCAUCUAAUAUAUAUUAUAUCUAUGAUCUAUUUUAUCAUAUUUUUACAUAAAUAUACAAUUUCUUUUUUAAAGUUAAAAUAAAUAAAAGUUUCAAUUUGAGAAAAGAACAGGAAGCCAGCAAAUGACUAGCAAAAGCUAGAAAUAUAGAGAUAUCUUUAAAAGUUUUGUAACUCAUAAAUGCACAAAAUGUAUAUACUAGUAUUAUCAUAUUACCUGUACAGGAUGUAUUUUACUAUUUAAUAGAAUAAAUGAACAGCUACACAAAUUUUUUUUCUUAAAUUUGAUUUGUAGUAAAAGAAUUGUGGUUCUAUA